UCGAGAAUUUUUCACAAUGGGCGCAAGCCUGAUGGAGCGACGCCGCGUGGGGGAUGAAUGGCUUCGGCCCGUAAACCCCUGUCAUGGGUGAACAAAGCUUUCCGCUGAAUAUGCGGUGGGCCUGAUAGUAGCUCAAGAGGAAGGGACGGCUAACUCUGUGCCAGCAGCCGCGGUAAUACAGAGGUCCCAAGCGUUGUUCGGAUUCACUGGGCGUAAAGGGUGCGUAGGCGGUCGGGUAAGUCUUAUGUGAAAUCCCGCGGCUUAACCGCGGAAUGGCAUAGGAUACUAUCCGGCUUGAGGAUUGGAGGGGGGACUGGAAUUCUCGGUGUAGCAGUGAAAUGCGUAGAUAUCGAGAGGAACACCGGUGGCGAAGGCGAGUCCCUGGACAAUUCCUGACGCU
rnacentral:rRNA from 1 species